ACUCAAAGGAAUAGACGGGGGCCCGCACAAGCGGUGGAGCAUGUGGUUCAAUUCGACGCAACGCGAAGAACCUUACCGAGGUUUGAACUGCCGGUGACAGCCCUGGAAACAGGGUCUUCCUUCGGGACGCCGGUAGAGGUGCUGCAUGGCUGUCGUCAGCUCGUGUCGUGAGAUGUUGGGUUAAGUCCCGCAACGAGCGCAACCCUUGCCCUUAGUUACCAUCGGGUCAUGCCGGGGACUCUAAGGGGACUGCCCCGGAAAACGGGGAGGAAGGUGGGGAUGACGUCAAGUCCUCAUGGCCUUUAUGUCUCGGGCUACACACGUGCUACAAUGGGCGACACAAAGGGUCGCAACGCCGUGAGGCUGAGCUAAUCCCAAAAAAUCGCCCUCAGUUCGGAUUGGAGUCUGCAACCCGACUCCAUGAAGUUGGAAUCGCUAGUAAUCGCGGAUCAGCACGCCGCGGUGAAUACGUUCCCGGGCCUUGCACACACCGCCCGU
rnacentral:rRNA from 1 species